rnacentral:rRNA from 1 species
UACGUAGGGUGCGAGCGUUGUCCGGAAUUAUUGGGCGUAAAGGGCUCGUAGGCGGUUUGUCGCGUCGGGAGUGAAAACCUUGGGCUUAACUCAGGGCUUGCUUUCGAUACGGGCAGACUAGAGGUAUGCAGGGGAGAACGGAAUUCCUGGUGUAGCGGUGAAAUGCGCAGAUAUCAGGAGGAACACCGGUGGCGAAGGCGGUCUCUGGGCAUGAUCUGACGCUGAGGGGCGAAAGUGUGGGGAGCGAACAGG